UUUUUAAUAGUUAACAGGGGUUUUAAUAACCCCCGCAAAAUAUUUCGUUAAUUACCUCUCAUCUCACUCUCACUCUCGCGACCCCUCACUCUCACUCUGAACUCGUUCUCGUUCUCUCCUUUACCAUGGAAGCUCACGAUUGCAACCAGAUUUGAUCUCGAUUUCCACCGAUUUGAUCCUGAUUUCCACCGAUUUCCACCGAUUGCAACCUGAUUUCCACCGAUUUCAACCUCCACUGAUCUCUUCUGAUUCGACUCUCAAUUUCACUCUCCUGAUUCCACUCUCGAUUAAACCCUAAAAUCUUCUCUCAAUCCUCUUCCUGAUUCCUCAAUCUCCAGUGUUUCACAAGAAAACGCUCAAUCUCAGCUUCAUUUGCAUUUUACUGGUCCAUUUCUCUGCCCUCACAGUUCAAAAUCGUCUCAUCCGGUUUUGUAUUAUCUACUAAAUAAAAAUGAGGACCAUGUCUCUGUUAUCAAGGAGUACAGGGGAAAGAUUGAGGCUGAGUUCAACAAGAUCUGAUAUUGUUCUUGCUGAACUUGCUCCCACCCACCCGAUUAGGCUCGGUCUUGCGCUCAACUUUUCUGUGUUCUAUUAUGAAAUCCUUAACUCACGAGAUCAUGCUUGUAAUCUUCCAAAGCAGGCAUUUGAUGAGGUGAUUUCUGAGCUUGACACAUUGGGUGAAGAGUCAUACAAGGUCAGUACAUUGAUCACGCAGCUUCUCUGAGACAAUCUGACUUUGUGGACAUUCGGCAUCACGGUAUCUCUCUCUUACUCUCUCCUCUCAUGUUGUGUACUCAUACACUACAUAUCUCUUCAUUUGUGUUUGGCUGUAGACUUUCUGGAUUGAUAACUUGGUGCACAUUUUGUAAUUCCAUAACCUUGUUGUCAAACCUUGAUGGCUGAAUUCUUUCGUGAGAAGAAAGUGUAAACCUUUUUUUUAGGAGUCAUGCUUGUUCCAUAGAAGAGAGUUUGAGAUAAAUUUAUGUUUGGUUAUAAAAAUCCUAAGUUCUCUUAAUAUCCUUUUGUCUGGAUUUUCAUACUUGUCCUUUUUCUUGCAAUGCAGUAGUCUAGGUUACCUUUGAACUUAGUGGGGCAAAUUUAACUUUAUCCUCAUACUUGCCUAAACAAUGACAAACAAAUCAGCACAUAUUUUUGUGAAGAAUCCAUUACAUGCCUAUGCUUUAUAGUAGCUUUUACUGUUAUAAAAUCUUACCUUAUAUUUGUUAGUUAAGUUGGUUGUCUAUCAUGAAGCUUGCGGGCUUUUCCUAGAAGUAAGUAAGUAGACUUCUAGACCACUUUAUGUUUCAAUUCUCAUGAGGGAUGAUCAAUUAUCUAGAGAUGCUAGAGGUCCCUAAUGACAUAGAAAUAGUGUAAAUAAUCUCUUGCAUUUAAGGGAGGUUGAAAACUCCCGUUAGAAAAA